CAGUAGCCGCGGUAACACGUAGGGUGCGAGCGUUAAUCGGAAUUACUGGGCGUAAAGCGUGCGCAGGCGGUUUUGUAAGACAGGUGUGAAAUCCCCGGGCUUAACCUGGGAACUGCGCUUGUGACUGCACAGCUAGAGUAUGGCAGAGGGGGGUGGAAUUCCACGUGUAGCAGUGAAAUGCGUAGAGAUGUGGAGGAACACCGAUGGCGAAGGCAGCCCCCUGGGCCAAUACUGACGCUCAUGCACGAAAGCGUGGGGAGCAAACAGGAUUAGAUACCCCCGUAGUCCCUGUCUCUUAUAC
rnacentral:rRNA from 1 species